UACGUAGGUCCCGAGCGUUGUCCGGAUUUAUUGGGCGUAAAGCGAGCGCAGGAGGUUUAUUAAGUCUGGUGUAAAAGGCAGUGGCUCAACCAUUGUAUGCAUUGGAAACUGGUAGACUUGAGUGCAGGAGAGGAGAGUGGAAUUCCAUGUGUAGCGGUGAAAUGCGUAGAUAUAUGGAGGAACACCGGUGGCGAAAGCGGCUCUCUGGCCUGUAACUGACACUGAGGCUCGAAAGCGUGGGGAGCAAACAGG
rnacentral:rRNA from 1 species